ACUGCAAGCCGCGCUAUCGAUCCCAUACUUCCACGUUGGGGUAGGAAAGUCCGGACAGCACCGGGCGACGCAUCCCGCUAACGGCGGGACAUUCAGCCUCGCUCAGGCGAGGCGGGAGCGAGACAGUGCCACAGAAAAUAGGAGCCUGCAUCCUGGCGGAAACGCUAGGAUUUGUUCCCGCAAGGGAAGGGUAAUCGUGAAAACGUGGGGUAAGAGCCCACGGAGGGUCAUCGGAAGGUGGCCUUCGGGUAAACCUUGCGUGCUGAAAUGCCAUGUAUAGGAGCAAUCUGAGGCGGCCCGUCUCAUUCCGGCAACGGAGGUGCUCCAGGGUAGGCAGCUAGAGGCGUUCAGCAAUGAGCGUCCCAGAUAAAUGAUAGCGGUCCCGACGUUACAGUCGGGAUACAGAAUCCGGCUUACAGGCUUGCAGUAACC
rnacentral:RNase_P_RNA from 1 species